rnacentral:rRNA from 1 species
GACGAACGCUGGCGGCGUGCUUAACACAUGCAAGUCGAACGGUGAAAGCGGAGCUUGCUCCGCUGGAUCAGUGGCGAACGGGUGAGUAACACGUGGGCAACCUGCCCCUCACUUCGGGAUAACUCCGGGAAACCGGGGCUAAUACCGGAUAUGACCUCCUUGGGCAUCCUUGGAGGUGGAAAGUUUUUCGGUGAGGGAUGGGCCCGCGGCCUAUCAGCUUGUUGGUGAGGUAGUGGCUCACCAAGGCGACGAUGCGUAGCCGACCUGAGAGGGUGAGAGGCCACACUGGGACUGAGACACGGCCCAGACUCCGACGGGAGGAAGCAGUAGGGAAUCUUCCGCAAUGGACGAAAGUCUGACGGAGCAACGCCGCGUGAGUGAUGAAGGCUUUCGGGUCGUAAAACUCUGUUGUUAGGGAAGAACAAGUGCUAGUUGAAUAAGCUGGCACCUUGACGGUACCUAACCAGAAAGCCACGGCUAACUACGUGCCAGCAGCCGCAGUAA